rnacentral:rRNA from 1 species
UACGGAGGGGGCUAGCGUUGUUCGGAAUUACUGGGCGUAAAGCGCACGUAGGCGGCUUUGUAAGUUAGAGGUGAAAGCCCGGGGCUCAACUCCGGAAUUGCCUUUAAGACUGCAUCGCUCGAAUGGUGGAGAGGUAAGUGGAAUUCCGAGUGUAGAGGUGAAAUUCGUAGAUAUUCGGAAGAACACCAGUGGCGAAGGCGACUUACUGGACACAUAUUGACGCUGAGGUGCGAAAGCGUGGGGAGCAAACAGG